UCUCACCGAGGCUCCAUAACCUCACAAUGCAUAUCUCAUUCCAUUAUAAAUACAUAUGCAUACAUCCAUUCAUCAUACAACACAAUUACUUGAGAACUGCCAUCGCUGUCGCUGUUGAAUGGUGGAGAGAGAGAGAGAAAGAUCAAAUUUGAGGUGUGAGAGAGGGAGGUGUUAAGAGAGAAGACACUAUCAAGGAGAAGAAGGAGGAGUUGUGUCCCGUCGUCGCUAUCAUGUCUAUCACCACCGUCAGAACUUUGAUCGUCAUCACCGUCACUGAUGAGCGGAUAUUUUAUACGCUUUUUGGCAUCAUUUUCAUAUAAUUUUGUUAUGUUUUAUUUAAGUUUCAUUAUGUUUUCAUAGGUUUUUGUGCGAAAUUCAUAUUUUUGGAUUCUACUUUGAGUUUGUGUAUUUUAUGAUGAAUCAGGUAAAUUCUAGCUGAAAUUGAGGAGCUUUGGAAAAAAGUCAGAUUCAGAGACAGAGAAAGGACUACAGAUGCUGUCAGAUUCUGACCUCCGUGCACUCAAAGGAGCAUUUUUGGAGCUACGUAAGUUCAAAUGGCGCAAUCUCAAUGGCUAUGGAAAGUUAACAUCCAAGGCUUUUCAGAAAUAUAUAAUAGUCUAUGCUUUGCUCUGGAAAUUAAGGCUCAAAACUGGCGUUCAAUGCCAACUACCUAUCCCAUUCCUGGCAUUAGACGCCCAAAAGGGAGCAACUGGCAUCCAACGCCCAAAAGGGAGCCCGAAGCUGGUGUUCAACACCCAAGAGGAGUACUAGCUCAUGGAUUUUAUUCAAGCUCAGCCCAAACACUCACCAAGUGGGCCCCAAAAGUGGAUUUUCGCACUACAAGCCCAUUCUAGCAUAUUUCUGUAAUCCUUAGUCACUAGAUUAGUAUAUAGGAGAAGAUCAACUAUGUUUAGGAUCUUCUGCCUCAUUUUUGCACCAGUCACCGUUGUUGUCGCAGCUGCAAGCAUGAAGAUUGAAUAGAAAGAGACAAAUCACGAGCGAAGGCGACGACAGAGGCCUCUGCCAGCGCUGCUACUAUCAUCGUCGUUGGAGCUCACCGCCGACCUAUUGGAGACCUCGUCGUCAAGAAACGGCGCUGCCAUCGCCGGAAGCUACCAUUGGAACCUCUGCCAGUUUGCUCUAGGUUUUCCUUGUUUGCGUUGGUUCUGUUCCUACUGAUGAGGGUCAUCGGAGUUAUUGCUGCUCUAUUCCCUCAUUCCCUCUAAUUACAGGUUGAGUCACUGCAGCUGCGGACUAGGAUUGUUGCUUCUGCUACCAUAUAAUUAUAGCAGAGUUGAUGUGAAUAUUGCGGCUGUUGUUGCCGCUGUUGUUGCUGUGUUGUUGAGUUACUUUGAGGGACAGGACACUAAGACAGGAAUAUUGAGACAGGGAUAAAGAGACACAAAAUCAUGUUUGACAGAUGAGACCUGGACAGAGACAUUAUGUUCAGGGACACUGAAUUAGUGUAUUUUGUGUCUAUCCUGACAGGAAAGACACAGAGAUACUAACAAGGAACAC